rnacentral:tRNA from 1 species
UUUUCUAUGGUGUAAAACACAUUGCUUUUUCGUAGCAAAGCUGAAAUAUCUAUGUUUCUAGAAAUU